AAUUUUUAAAUCUGUAACAUCUAAUUGUUUAACUGUCGUGUUUGAAGUACAAUCUAAUUUUUAAUAUUUGACAUGUGCAUUUUACGUUACUACUAACACGUUUAUACAUUCGAAACGUAUUAAAGCGUAUCUGGAUAUUUUCUGAGACCUUACUGAUGCGCAGCAUCGGGUUAAGUGCUAAGGUUGCCGGCUUGUGCACGUGUGUUAGCCGUUCAUAUAUCUUCUAUUGCACUUUUUGUUUUGCAUCGUUACCCUCUUAACCCAUUCUCCACUCUCAAUCGAACGGAAUCGAGUUGCAUCGAUGCAUAGAGCGUAUGAAACGCGCGAGAACGGAAAGCAGAGUCGAUGCCACGGAGGUGCACGAAGGAGGCCGAGCGGGUUCGGAAGCAGCCGAGGCCAUCUGUUACGCUCGGUUCCCACGCUUCCGCCGUCGCCUUUCCCCGCCUUUGGACCAGUCCUCAUCGGUCCUUUUCUUGCCCCCUCCUUAGCCGGCACUGCCGGCUCUCGCCGUCGCUUUAUUUUAUAUAGCCGGAGAACGCUUGGACGUCUUUAACCGCGAGUCCGCGUUUUCUGUUACGAACUUACGAGGCGAAACUUUUGUCCAUUAUCGCGAGAUUUCUGCUCGUCGUAGUUUCCGUUUGGCUUGGUCUCGAGGCGUUAAGUAAAAGUUGUACGACUAGUCUUGUAAAGAUAGGACCGGCCAAAAUCUUUAUCUCUUUCGGUCCCGUUCUGUGUACGUCACAACGAAAACAAAUGUUCCAAGAUGUUCCCUACGUAUUUUACUUUCUUACGUUCGUUUGAAAUAAAUCGAAUGUUUUACAGCAAAAUUCGUUACCUUAUUUCCUUAAUAUCUACUUAAGCAAGCGUUAGCUAUUCAAUGUUGUUAGAUGACAUAAUAUUGAAGUGUUAUAUGAAAUGGUACAUAAUUUCUUUUCAUGACUCUCACAUUUAAGAAUUAAAACUGAGGUUAGAAUUCCAGUUAAUCUUUCUUGCGAGUACAGUCUAUUUUUACUGAAUCGAAACUAUAAUCUCUGUUACCAGCAUAACUCAAUGUUAUAAGCAAGAGAUUAAGUACGUUAUGUAUUUCAGAUUUCUCUUAAAUGUGAACGUUUCCGUGGGAGCAGUUAGAUAAAUUCAGCCGGGCGGCUUCGCUUUCUCCAGUUUGUUCAUCAAGCAAGCCGACUGCGAUACUUGAAACUGGUCCAUAUAUUAUUGCCAUCCGAUAUAUUUAGUUACGCCAGUGGCAGGAAUUAGCCUGCCAAAGAAAAAAAAGUUGCUUUCAACGUGGGGCACGUGCCGUCUGCAGUCGCGCCGCCAUUGUCAUCUUCCCAGAGGCUGUGUUUACACAAACGCAUUCCCCCAAUCGCCCCCUGCUCAAAGUUGGCACUCCCGACCACCAGCCACUGCGUACAGAGAACGUUCUUAAAUGUGUUCGUACAAAAGGAAUCGUAAACGCCGCGCACGUGUGUUGACGACGCGUCGUCGAGGGGGCUGGAACGAUUAAACCGACCGCAAAAAGAGAUGGACUCGAUUCUUUAAAUACACGGUCAAUAUGACAGGGGGAGCGACCAUGGUGACAAUGUCGAGUGACUUCUAGCGACCCCUUGUUUACCUAUGAAUAAAUUCCAUUUACUUCGUUACAUAAAAACAUGAGGAUAAAAGGUCGAAAACAUAGCCAAUAGAUUACACAUUCGAACAAAGUUAAUCCCAGAUAUUGUGUAUAGUAGCUCACUAAAGUAUUCGUACAUUUAUUACGAAUGUAUGCGUAUUUCUGUGCUAUAUGAAACAUUUUGCAACUUCACUAGCAUUGUAAUGAGAUUAGGCUAUAAUUGUUACGUUGGUAGAGAAAGUUUACAUAGAAGCUACAAAAUAUUUAGUGUAAAUAUAUGUAUAUACGUAAUUAAAAGUUCCUAGUAAUUUUAAAACAAUUUGCCGAACAAUUUAAAGAAUGUAGAGGGCGGUGAUCGUGAGCAAACGAUUACGUUGAACCUAACUCGAGACAGAUGAUUUUAUGGCGCAGUAAUCGUCGCGGUAUGCAAUCGAUAAUAAAGAGACGAUCGACCCUGUGAACGAAGCCAGGUUCGGAAACCUUUGUACAUGAUGAACAAUUUGAAACGUGUUGCUGGUUGUCGUGGCAUAAAUCAGUCGCUCUGUCGGCAUGAUUAGAAACUCUUUGGAAAAUACGCGGCGAACAUUGGAAGGAACGGCGUAGUAUCGGUUCUGUUGAAACAGGCUGUCUGUCGCGUCUCAUGGCAACGCGACCUUUUCUUUAGGUUAUGUUAUGUGAUUGUUUUAAUCAAAGAACAUCGUACAUAACAUGAAACUAUGUUACAUAAUCUAAAUGAAUUUUUGCAGUUUGUCGGAAUAUGGUAACGGAUAAUAUAAUCACUUGCUAUAAUACAAUACUUAUUCUGUGCACAUAUUAGGUUGAUGCAUAUGAAAUGUCCUCUCAAAUGAAACUAAUCACGUGUAGGUUCUUCAAAUCAUCAUAUCUAUGUUGAACUGAUAUUUCUCAGAAAUCUAAUAUAAUUAAAGCACUUAUUCUUUAGGAAAGGAUAUCAUGUAAAAAUUACUUUGAUUAAAUUUACAUGUAAUGCAUUGAAGAAUCUAUAUAGUAUAUGCGGUUAAAUUUCAUUUCAAAAAGAACGUUUUAUAUACACCAAUCUAAUACAUAGAAAGGAAAUAUUAGUGGAGAAGCAUGUUUUUAGAAAAUAUAAUACAAUAUUACUAAAGCUAUAAUAAAUAUCGCUUAACUUUGGAAUAGAUUGUACAAACGCACUCGAGGAAUAGAUACCGAAAUCCCUUCUUUUUUUCGGUGUUCAAGAUUUAUAUGUUUUGUUCUGGGCGUUGUAAAUGAGUCCCUCGCGGUUCGAUAGCCACGAAUGCGUGUAUUUAGUUCGAUAAGAGAGCUAAUAUGCAACGUAUUCCG